AUCAAAAGGUGCAAGUUAUUCAAG
rnacentral:siRNA from 1 species